rnacentral:tRNA from 1 species
GCCGCGGUAGCUCAGUCGGUAGAGCACCGGUCUGAAAAACCGGGUGUCGACGGUUCGAUCCCGUCCUGCGGCA